UACGUAGGGCGCAAGCGUUGUCCGGAUUUAUUGGGCGUAAAGAGCUCGUAGGCGGUCUGUCGCGUCGGCUGUGAAAACCCGAGGCUCAACCUCGGGCCUGCAGUCGAUACGGGCAGACUAGAGUGCGGUAGGGGAGACUGGAAUUCCUGGUGGAGCGGUGAAAUGCGCAGAUAUCAGGAGGAACACCCGUAGCGAAGGCGGCACUCUGGGCCGAUUCUGACACUGAGGAGCGAAAGCGUGGGGAGCAAACAGG
rnacentral:rRNA from 1 species